UCCGGUUUGUCACCGGCAGUCUCCUUAGAGUUCCCGCCAUUACGCGCUGGCAACUAAGGACAAGGGUUGCGCUCGUUGCGGGACUUAACCCAGCAUCUCACGACACGAGCUGACGACAGCCAUGCAGCACCUGUGUCCAGGCUCCCUUUCGGGCACACCCGCCUCUCAGCGGGCUUCCUGGCAUGUCAAGGGUAGGUAAGGUUCUUCGCGUUGCAUCGAAUUAAUCCACAUGCUCCACCGCUUGUGCGGACCCCCGCCAAUUCCUUUGAGUUUCAAUCUUGCGAUCGUACUUCCCAGGUGGGAUACUUAAUGCUUUCGCUCAGACACCAACAGUGUAUCGCUGAUGUCGAGUAUCCAUAGUUUAGGGCGUGGACUAC
rnacentral:misc_RNA from 1 species